rnacentral:rRNA from 1 species
UACAGAGGGUGCGAGCGUUAAUCGGAGUUACUGGGCGUAAAGGGCGCGUAGGCGGUUAUGUAAGUUAGUUGUGAAAUACCUGGGCUUAACCUGGGAACUGCAACUAAGACUGCGUGACUGGAGUACUGUAGAGGGUAGUGGAAUUUCCGGUGUAGCGGUGAAAUGCGUAGAGAUCGGAAGGAACACCAGUGGCGAAGGCGGCUACCUGGACAGAUACUGACGCUGAGGCGCGAGAGCGUGGGGAGCAAAC